CAAGCGGACGGGGGCGGGGCGGGGCCGAGGCUCAUGAAUGACUCACGGGGGGUGACGUCAUGGAGGUGCGAGGUUUCCCUGGUAACGACACAGGGCCCCGUGGGAGCGGGCGGAGCAGGAUAGCUGGGGACUGGGACCAGUAUAGCUGAGUGAAUGGGAACUGUUAGUGUUUGUGUGUGGGGUCGGGGGUAACUGGGACCAGAAUGACUCGUGGGGGUGGGGGCAUGGCUCCGGCCAGUAUAGCUAACGAACCAGUAAGGGAUAGUAACUGGGACCAGUAAGGGGGCUGGUACGAGUAUAGCUGGGUAACUGGGGCCCAUAAGUAGGGCGGGGGGGGCGAUAAAUGGGAUCAGUAUAGUUCGGUAAGUGGGGUCAGUAAUAAAGGGGCAAUUGGUAUCAGUAAGUGAGGAGUAAUUUAGACCAGUAUAGCUGGGUAAUUGGGACCAGUAAGGCGGGGGUAAGUGGGAGCAGUGCAGCUAGGUAACAGCUGGGGGCAAGGGUAACUGGUACCAGUAUAGCUGGGUGGGUGGGACCCCAGGGGCAGCUGCACCUCAGCCUGCGCUGCGCUGUGUUUGGAGCUGGCUCUUGUGCAGCUGCCGCACCCCAGAGCUGGGCACAUCUCCCGCCCUGAGUCCGGCUUGUACCUGGAGCCACAGGUGCCAAGGGUUGGGGGGGCUCGGGGGGCUCAUCCCGCCAAGCUCCAGCUCCAUCAGCGCAGCCAGGGCUCGGCUCCCUGGGGCUUCCUCCUGUCCCAGUGCGGCUCCCCUGCUCUCCCUCAUCGCCAGCCUCAACUUGCCCAGCUGCAGCUGGAGCCCAUUGAUCCUUGUCUUGUCACUUGCCCCCUUGGGGGACAAUGCAAGUCUGGAGUGCCCUCCAGACUGCCAUCCAACCCCCACUUUGCAGUCACCCAGGGCCUCUCCCAAUUGCCACAACGGUGCUGGCAGCGACUCUGCAAUCACAUUGCCCAGCCUCCCGCCUGGCCCCGUGGCUUGUGCAUGGCCACCUUUCCUGGGCGAUCCCUGACCUGUUCUCUCAGCACCAAGGGCUGCUCCCUCCUGCCCGCGAGGUGCUGCCCUGGCCCGUGAUGUCCCAGGCGAAAAAGGCAUCGAGCACUUCAGCCUCCUCUGCCUCCUCCGUCACCAGGGACCAACCUCCAAGGGAAGUGGCGCUGGCUCCUACCCCGGGGGUCUUUAAGAGGGGGCUGGACGAUUACCUAGUUGGGGUCACUUGAGCCCAGUUUUCCUCCUGCCCAGGCAGGGGGCGGACUAGAAGAUCUGCUAGGUCCCUUCCGACCCUGCAGCUAUGACUGCCCAGUACAGGAUGGUAACGGGCCAGUAACACGGGUUCCCUUCUCCAGUCAGUAUGGACCCACUUCUUUUGAGCAGCCUCGUGUACCAACGUCCUUGUAGAAACCUCCUCGUUGCCCUGCACAGCCCACCAUGCUCGACCUGCCCGACUGCAUCCCUGCUUGCCCCGGCCACGCUCUUACACUCCUCCUUUCUUUCUCCUCCCGGUUUCCUCUUCUUCCAAGCUUCUUUUCUGUGAGGUAUUUUACUGAGGCGCUCCCUGCUGAGCCCAGCUGGGCUCUGCCGGGCUCGCUCGUCCUCCUGCACACCGGGGCAGUUGUUCCUGCGCUCUCAGGAAGGCUUUGUUCAGCACAGCCAGCUCCCCUGGUCUCUUCCCGUCAGCCCCCAAGCGACUUUGAGUCCGCUGGGCUGUGCCCAGCUCUCCCACUUUUCCCGUGGCUUUGUGCCCACGAAGCUGCUGCUCUGGGGUAGCCUGGCCCCGGCUCCACUGGCCUGUCUGCCAAGCCCCCUGCCUGCCGGCCCACGGCUUGGGAACUCUAUGAUGCUGGGUCAGCUGGACACCUCCCCCCGCAUGGCCUUGCUACGAGGAAGCGCCUCUCGUCCCAUUGCUACCUCCCAUGGGAAAAUCCCAGGGAUCCCACUGUGCCACCAGUGAGGAAGCUCCUCUCAUCUCGGCGUUCCCACCCAUGACCUCGCUCCUGCUUCCCUCUCCCCACCAGCUCGUGCAUCAGGAAGCUCCUCUCAUCCCACGGCUACCACCAAUGCUGUCCCUCCUGCACCCCAAGCCCCCCAGCUCCCACCAACGGGGUGGCUUCUCUCACCCUCCCAUUAACACCUGGAGGACCCCUGGCCCGGCAGCUGGGGUGAGGCCUGCGGCGCCCCCCCAACCGCCCGGGGGCCUCCUUGCGCCCGGCCACCCACAACGCCAGGCUCCGCGCCCACCUGCCCCGUGCGGAUGAUGCCCAGCAGGGAGGGGAUUCUGGGACAUGCCCCACACAGGAGCAGAUGGAACCAGGACCCAGCACCGCCAGUGCCCCAGAGGAUUCUGGGAAUGUGGCUCACUACCUCCAGGAGUGUGGGGCUCUGCCUCGCCCCUGCCCGCAAGCUUGGCCCAAACUGAGGCCUGCCCCAGAGGAUGCUGGGAAGAGUGCUGGGGUCAGAGGUGGGAGGGGGCCUGGGACCAGUCUGUAACACCCCCAUGACUGCAACAACCCCUGGCACCGUGACAUGACGAAUAAAGGUUUAAUUUUCAA